CCUGCCCUGAGAAGCAUAGCAGAUAUGGCUGAUAUAUCACAUGUUUGUCAGUAGGUGGCAAAGAGGAGAAAGGCUAUGUCUACACUCAUUGUUCUGACUUAUCAACAUUUCAAUGAUUAGUAGCUUAACAUU